rnacentral:rRNA from 1 species
UAGGGAAUCUUCGGCAAUGGACGAAAGUCUGACCGAGCAACGCCGCGUGAGUGAAGAAGGUUUUCGGAUCGUAAAACUCUGUUGUUAGAGAAGAACAAGGACGUUAGUAACUGAACGUCCCCUGACGGUAUCUAACCAGAAAGCCACGGCUAACUACGUGCCAGCAGCCGCGGUAAUACGUAGGUGGCAAGCGUUGUCCGGAUUUAUUGGGCGUAAAGCGAGCGCAGGCGGUUUCUUAAGUCUGAUGUGAAAGCCCCCGGCUCAACCGGGGAGGGUCAUUGGAAACUGGGAGAGUUGAGUGCAGAAGAGGAGAGUGGAAUUCCAUGUGUGGCGGUGAAAUGCGUAGAUAUAUGGAGGAACACCAGUGGCGAAGGCGGCUCUCUGGUCUGUAACUGACGCUGAGGCUCGAAAGCGUGGGGAGCCAACAGG